rnacentral:rRNA from 1 species
UUAAGUUAUUAAGGGCGCACGGUGGAUGCCUUGGCACUAGAAGCCGAUGAAGGACGUUACUAACGACGAUAUGCUUUGGGGAGCUGUAAGUAAGCUUUGAUCCAGAGAUUUCCGAAUGGGGAAACCCAGCAUGAGUUAUGUCAUGUUAUCGAUAUGUGAAUACAUAGCAUAUCAGAAGGCACACCCGGAGAACUGAAACAUCUUAGUACCCGGAGGAAGAGAAAGAAAAUUCGAUUCCCUUAGUAGCGGCGAGCGAAACGGGAAGAGCCCAAACCAACAAGCUUGCUUGUUGGGGUUGUAGGACACUCUAUACGGAGUUACAAAGGACGACAUUAGACGAAUCAUCUGGAAAGAUGAAUCAAAGAAGGUAAUAAUCCUGUAGUCGAAAAUGUUGUCUCUCUUGAGUGGAUCCUGAGUACGACGGAGCACGUGAAAUUCCGUCGGAAUCUGGGAGGACCAUCUCCUAAGGCUAAAUACUCUCUAGUGACCGAUAGUGAACCAGUACCGUGAGGGAAAGGUGAAAAGCACCCCGGAAGGGGAGUGAAAUAGAACCUGAAACCGUGUGCUUACAAGUAGUCAGAGCCCGUUAAUGGGUGAUGGCGUGCCUUUUGUAGAAUGAACCGGCGAGUUACGAUUUGAUGCAAGGUUAAGCAGUAAAUGUGGAGCCGUAGCGAAAGCGAGUCUGAAUAGGGCGUUUAGUAUUUGGUCGUAGACCCGAAACCAGGUGAUCUACCCUUGGUCAGGUUGAAGUUCAGGUAACACUGAAUGGAGGACCGAACCGACUUACGUUGAAAAGUGAGCGGAUGAACUGAGGGUAGCGGAGAAAUUCCAAUCGAACCUGGAGAUAGCUGGUUCUCUCCGAAAUAGCUUUAGGGCUAGCCUCAAGUGAUGAUUAUUGGAGGUAGAGCACUGUUUGGACGAGGGGCCCCUCUCGGGUUACCGAAUUCAGACAAACUCCGAAUGCCAAUUAAUUUAACUUGGGAGUCAGAACAUGGGUGAUAAGGUCCGUGUUCGAAAGGGAAACAGCCCAGACCACCAGCUAAGGUCCCAAAAUAUAUGUUAAGUGGAAAAGGAUGUGGCGUUGCCCAGACAACUAGGAUGUUGGCUUAGAAGCAGCCAUCAUUUAAAGAGUGCGUAAUAGCUCACUAGUCGAGUGACACUGCGCCGAAAAUGUACCGGGGCUAAACAUAUUACCGAAGCUGUGGAUUGUCCUUUGGACAAUGGUAGGAGAGCGUUCUAAGGGCGUUGAAGCAUGAUCGUAAGGACAUGUGGAGCGCUUAGAAGUGAAAAUGCCGGUGGGAGUAGCGAAAGACGGGUGAGAAUCCCGUCCACCGAUUGACUAAGGUUUCCAGAGGAAGGCUCGUCCGCUCUGGGUUAGUCGGGUCCUAAGCUGAGGCCGACAGGCGUAGGCGAUGGAUAACAGGUUGAUAUUCCUGUACCACCUAUAAUCGUUUUAAUCGAUGGGGGGACGCAGUAGGAUAGGCGAAGCGUGCGAUUGGAUUGCACGUCUAAGCAGUAAGGCUGAGUAUUAGGCAAAUCCGGUACUCGUUAAGGCUGAGCUGUGAUGGGGAGAAGACAUUGUGUCUUCGAGUCGUUGAUUUCACACUGCCGAGAAAAGCCUCUAGAUAGAAAAUAGGUGCCCGUACCGCAAACCGACACAGGUAGUCAAGAUGAGAAUUCUAAGGUGAGCGAGCGAACUCUCGUUAAGGAACUCGGCAAAAUGACCCCGUAACUUCGGGAGAAGGGGUGCUCUUUAGGGUUAACGCCCAGAAGAGCCGCAGUGAAUAGGCCCAAGCGACUGUUUAUCAAAAACACAGGUCUCUGCUAAACCGUAAGGUGAUGUAUAGGGGCUGACGCCUGCCCGGUGCUGGAAGGUUAAGAGGAGUGGUUAGCUUCUGCGAAGCUACGAAUCGAAGCCCCAGUAAACGGCGGCCGUAACUAUAACGGUCCUAAGGUAGCGAAAUUCCUUGUCGGGUAAGAUCCGACCCGCACGAAAGGCGUAACGAUUUGGGCACUGUCUCAACGAGAGACUCGGUGAAAUCAUAGUACCUGUGAAGAUGCAGGUUACCCGCGACAGGACGGAAAGACCCCGUGGAGCUUUACUGUAGCCUGAUAUUGAAAUUCGGCACAGCUUGUACAGGAUAGGUAGGAGCCUUUGAAACGUGAGCGCUAGCUUACGUGGAGGCGCUGGUGGGAUACUACCCUAGCUGUGUUGGCUUUCUAACCCGCACCACUUAUCGUGGUGGGAGACAGUGUCAGGCGGGCAGUUUGACUGGGGCGGUCGCCUCCUAAAAGGUAACGGAGGCGCUCAAAGGUUCCCUCAGAAUGGUUGGAAAUCAUUCAUAGAGUGUAAAGGCAUAAGGGAGCUUGACUGCGAGACCUACAAGUCGAGCAGGGUCGAAAGACGGACUUAGUGAUCCGGUGGUUCCGCAUGGAAGGGCCAUCGCUCAACGGAUAAAAGCUACCCCGGGGAUAACAGGCUUAUCUCCCCCAAGAGUUCACAUCGACGGGGAGGUUUGGCACCUCGAUGUCGGCUCAUCGCAUCCUGGGGCUGUAGUCGGUCCCAAGGGUUGGGCUGUUCGCCCAUUAAAGCGGUACGCGAGCUGGGUUCAGAACGUCGUGAGACAGUUCGGUCCCUAUCCGUCGUGGGCGUAGGAAAUUUGAGAGGAGCUGUCCUUAGUACGAGAGGACCGGGAUGGACAUACCUCUGGUGUACCAGUUGUCGUGCCAACGGCAUAGCUGGGUAGCUAUGUGUGGACGGGAUAAGUGCUGAAAGCAUCUAAGCAUGAAGCCCCCCUCAAGAUGAGAUUUCCCAACUUCGGUUAUAAGAUCCCUCAAAGAUGAUGAGGUUAAUAGGUUCGAGGUGGAAGCAUGGUGACAUGUGGAGCUGACGAAUACUAAUCGAUCGAAGACUUAAUCAA